UAAUCUGAAGGCAACAACGACUUGAAACAUCCUGACAUUCACCUGUUUGGGUUGUGUGUGUGUGUGUGUGUGUGUGUGUGUUCAAGCCAACACAGCCAAAGCAAACUCUUAAAAAAUGCAAGCUAUUAAUUACGUAGAGCUCUCUCUCUCUCCAUAGCUCCGGUACUUGUGCCUCUUGAUCUGGGGAUCUCAUUACAGCGCAGAUCUGACUCAGGAGGUCUGGGGCGGGCCAGAGACUGCCCUCUAACAGGUUCUCAGGCUGCGGGUCCAAGGACCAUUUGAGCAAGGAGGAGAAGACAGGACUGGUCUAGGGGAGUGUGGCCCGAGGGCAAGGCGGGAAGCGGGCUCCCUCCAGCCAGACACCUGGUCUGUGGGAGCCAGUACCACGCUUAACUGUCAGACUGGUCCUCGGAGCUUGAUCUGGAAGAAGUGGAAAAUGGCUCGUGUGCGGAAAAAAUUCUCAACCACUCCGAAGUGAGAAGCUGAUCGUGAUAAUGCUGCGUGGCGGGGCCAACAACAGUCCUUCCGCAGGCGAGGUUCCCCGUGCCAGGCCUGGCAGUGGCAUUCCCAUCGCUGGAGCCCACCUGUUCCUGCAGCUCCCGGGGUGACCAAGGCCCCUGCUUAGACCCAGCCCCCACACAGUGCAACUGGAUGACCUGCGUGGACCUCAACUGUGCUGCUCCCUAACCAGCCCAGGUUGGGGGUUGCUCCCCCAGGCCGCAGGGCACAGGGCUUGCAAACCCAGGAGCCGCGCGUGCGCAGAAGGGUCCCCAAUUACACGGGGAGAGCACCUGUGUCCCUGAAAUGUGUCCCUGAAUGUCUUUGGAGGAAAUGAAGAAAAGCCCUACCCAACAGAUACUAAAAUAUCCCCCCAAAACCCCAGAAUAAGUCUAGAAAGACACGUUGGUUUAGGGAACUCAGAGGGUGCCUGAGUGUGUCAUCCUAAGUUUGCAAAACUUUCGUGUAUUUAGCUGGUCCAGGCGCCCCGGGGAGCGGAGCUGCUCUCCUCUGGGGCAAGAAUUCAGGCUCUAACAGACUCUGGCAUACUUCACGUCCGUUUUCUAGAACAACAUGGAAAGGUCUCCCUCCAGCCUGUCAUGCAUAUAUUGAAAAGAGCCCAUGCGUUAGAUCUCAGUACCAACUUUCAUUUGUUACUCAAACAGGAUUUUUUUCCCCUGGAAUUUUUCACAAAGUUCAACAUUUGGGAGUAAGGCCAUUUUACUAAAGAGGGACUUAGGAACAGUGCCCAGAGUGUUUCAAGGGUCCAUAAAAAUGCCAGAAAAGAAAUUUUACUGGGUCUAAAUACAAAAGGAAAACUGAAAAAAAAAUCAAAAUAUAUAAAUGUUUAAUUAAAUGUCUUAAAAAAUGCAGCAUGAUGGCAACUUCAUGAAUUUUUAAACUUAGGAUUCACUUUUUUUUUUGGUUUAGAAUUUUCGCAUAGCCAAAGGAUUUCAAGACUAAAUGCAAAUAAUUGCUCUGUCUUCCGAACACUUAUCGCGUGUUCUAAAUGUUCUACAGAGGCUGUCUCCUCCAGCCUCCCAGCACUGUGAGGUCAGUAUGGCCACUGUCCUUGGAGGCUCGGCCGGGCCAGCCAACGCUCACCAGGAUUUCAUCUAGAAAGAACUAAGGUCCAAAUCUGAUAUUUGAAGAACCUAAGGGAUUAAGUAGAUCAUUGUUCACUGUCUGGAAGAAAUGUUUAAGCUCUUCUGAACAAACAAAGUGACCGUAGAUGGAUCAUUACAAUCCUGAGCUCAAAGACAUAUAAAACUGCCUGCUAUUCCACUAAUCGGCGAAGAGCAAAGGAUGAAAGUUUCCAUCCCUCGAGAGGGCUGGAUCCCUCUCGUCCCUACCCGGACCCUCGUGGAAGCUCUUUGCCAAAGGGAGGGACCGGAACUUGGAAUGUUUGCCUGGCAAUCAUUUUGUCACAUUAUCUAGCUUUCUUGCAGGCCAACAACGGAGGUCCCUGCUUCAGGUCCCUGUCGAUGCCUUCCCCCAAGCAGACCCCGGGGACAGACGUGGAGCCAACCAUCAGUACCUGGGGUCACAUGGCUGCCUGUUGGGUCCUGCCCCCUGCCCCAGGGUCCACCCGGGAGCGCUUGGCUCCCUGCCUGCCCAAUGACUGCCAAGGCUCUGAGGAUCUGCUUUCUUCAAGACUGUAUUUGAACCAGAAUUAUAUUGAUAAACCCUCCUAAUAAAAAAUUUCUGAAACAGAAAUUUCAAUACAAUGAAGCCCAAGGAGGAGAUGGUGCAGUUCUUCAAACCAGACACUGGCGUCUGUGGGUCGCCGUGUCUGGACUGCUUCUUUCCAGUUCUGGUUUCCUGAUGGUAUAACCUUGGACCUCACUUCGUUUUGCUUCAACUUCCUUACCUGUUCUUGCAAAGAUGAUACCAACUAAUGUAUGGGAAGCUCUUUGAAUGGUGCUGGGUGAACAA